rnacentral:lncRNA from 1 species
CCAACAUAAAAUAAAUAACACACAUUUUUGUCAAAGUCAGAGUUCUAAUACACUUUAACCAGUAAAGCUUGCUUUGAGUUAGCAUCACUGAGGAAAGUCUUAACAAGUUAUCAAAUAAUCAUUUGUCCCAACAGAAUAUAAAUAAUUGUUAAAUGUUGGUCAAAAUGAGUGUGGAAAUUUAACAAAAAAACAUUAACAGGUUAACUGUUCAUGCAAGUAGAAAAUUCUCUUGAUUUGAUCAACAGGUAUUUAAAAUUUUCCGUUGAAACCAAAAUAACUCGAGCAAAUCUAAAUGAAAAUCAAAGCAAUUGCAACUUUCACAUAAACAGCAAUGACUUCAGCACAUAUCAGAAUAACAAACAACCUUAGAAAAUUUCUAAUUUAAUUGACCCUUUUUCAAGGAAAAUAGUUAACACAUAGUGGUUUUUGGUAACUAUAAAAAGAGUAUAUACAUGUAGAUAAGUAAAUAAAAACCUGAAAUUUAACCCUGAUACCAUUUAACUACAAUGUAUAAAAUAAAUAUGCACAAGCUUAUUCACACAACCAUAUCGUUAAUGAGGUAAGUGCUAUACACUCUAAUAGCUGAUGCAUGAUAGGAAAUAGUGAAGAUUAAGAGGACGACUUGAUAUUGCAACCAACUCUUUUUAAAGUACAUCAAUAAAAGUAUAGAUUGCACUCUGCAAAUACAAGCCACACCUCUUUUAGGGAGAUAUAUAAUAUUCAUUGAUAUGUUAAUUUGUUAACAUACUGGUUCCCAGUAAUGAUCUUUGUGUUUCAUCUCACAGACAUAAUUUGGGAAUGUUACCAGAAUACAAAAACAUGAAAGUGUCUAAAAAUUAAUUCUUAGGAGGACCAAAAGUGAUGAUAGGGGUAGUAUAGAAUUUAAGUAACCGUUUAGACUCAUAGAAGUUCAGGGCAUAUAAAUGUUGAAAAUAUGCUGCACAGACAUAUAUUUUGACCUUUGAACAAAAUAGUACCUAGUGCAUAUCAAUCAGGUCAACUUUCCCUUCUGGGGUAUAAUUUUUAACAAAACUUCAUAGCAAAAGUGGCACAGUUUUAGUAGCAAAGGGAGUUCCUAUGGAAAUAGCAUGGUCUAUAUUUACAGAAUUGUAAUUGUAAACAAUGGCUUGAUUUCAACAAAUAAUAAAAAUACCUGGAAUGUUACCAUGUUCAAGACAAUGAAGGUCUAAAUAAAGUAUCAAGGCCUUCUCUUAAAAUUUUAAAAUAGCUUUUUCUGAAACUCCUUAUUCUUUAAGAAAACUUGUAACGCCUUUUAUAUGUAAUUCAAAUCAUCACACAAUAAAUUGUUUAAUUUUUAGACAAAAUAAAUGUUUACUUGUAAGGGAAAUGGUGAGUUGUUCAAUUUUAAUUGUGAAACACUUUUUGGAGUGUUUUGCAUUUAGCAGAAAUCAAAAUGACUGCCUUUUAAGUGAACAUGUCAUAUAGCCCUGCUUUAAAUGAAAAAAGUUUUGAAUUUCACUAUUUCUUUAAUAAUUAUGUAAUUAAUCAUAGUCUAAAAAUAUGGAAUCAUGGGAAAAAA